CACUCCCAAAUGAAGGUUAAGUUUGCUCUGCGCCCCGGCGCGGCCGGCCAUGCGCCCGCAUAAUGGCCCCGGCCCAGCCGGCCCACGUGCCCAGGGUCACCCAGCUGGGCUCCCGUGGUUGCUGGCAGGUGUGCUGAGCCUCUGCCCUUGCACCCGGGCACUCCACUGAACGCGCGGUGGUGGACAGAGCCGGAGGAGCGCCCUCACCGCCGUGCAUGAGAAGCCGGCCACCUCGUAGACGAAGCAAGCCGGUCUGGGAAGCAGGAGACCCGGGAUACAUUCCAGUCUGCCCUAUCUGCUCGGCCAAAGCCCUUCCUCCCGCCCCUGGCUUGACAGCUCCUGAAACAGCCCCCACAGCCGAUCCUGAUUAGAGAAGACCCUGCCAGGCAGCUUCUCCCCCUGUGCCACGCAGCCUGAGCCUUUGUUCUUCCGGCGGAUGAGGACCUUGGAGCCAGAGACGCAGUCCUUGUACCAUAUUAUGAAUGGCACAAAAACCCUCUCCAGAUGCCAGUGACAUGGUCUUGGACUUCCCAGCCUCCAGAACUAAAUAUGUGGAGAGCUGAAGACACAGAUUCUAGGCUGCAUCUUCAGGACUGGCUCCAAGCUGGGCUGCAGAACUGGACCACCAAGGCAGUCACUCCCCUUACAAACAUAGGGAAGCCAUCUGCUAAGCCAAGAAGCCACCAGUCCAGCUUCUGGCUCCAGAAACAUGCUUGUCUGCAUGUCCACACCAGCCAAAUGCACACCUCAGUAUAAAACCACUGGGGUUUGGUCUC